GAGAGUACUGUUUCUGAUUCUUUCAUUUGUGUUGUGGUGAGUUCUUCCUUCUAGUCAUUUUGCUCAGUGCAGAGUGGCUGUAUGAGCAGGCUGAGUUAAGAAUAUCAACCACGACCUAAGUAAAUUUCACCCUAAGUGAUUCUGC